UCUGGCUAGCUGUCAAUGGGUCAUGAUGAGCUAUGGGGAGUUAGCCCCAAACCAAUGCUUGUGGUGGGAUCUAGCAUUGCUGUGGGCAUCAAAAUUAUGGACCGGAGUGAGUCAGAAUCUGAUAGAGUGGCUCCCCCAUUCAGGGAGCAUGUGCAGAAUGCCAGCUUAGAAGCCAAGAAUGCUGGAGAGUGAAUCCAAAAAAGGAGUUCUCUUUGGAGGAAGAAGGAAACAAUGUUGAAAAGAAAGGGCAUAAAAAGAGAAUGAGGUAAGUCUGUCUUUUGAGUGAGUUGAGUCUUCUCUUUCAGAGAAUCAUCUGAUGAAAUUCCAGGCUCCUGAAAGGUUGGAGGAAGAGUCAGGGAAGCAGGGAUAUAGCAAGCCCAUAAUGACAACUAACACCUCCAAAACUGAAUAGGGCUAGAUGAAAUGUAAUGGAACCUUCAGAUAUAUGAAGAUUUAAUUUCGCACAAGUGUUGCCAACAGUCAUGUUCUGAGAGCUGCUACUGUAGAAGGAAAAAACAAGCAUGCUAGGACCCCGGAUUAUGCUGGGCGUGAGUGUCAACAGCAGCCCAGAUUGGAGGCCCAGAACCUACUGAAGAUUCCAGAAGCCUGCCAGGCUCCUUUGCCAGAGAAGAAGAAUAAAAAACAACCCACUGAAAACUUCAGUUGUUCAGGUAAGAUCAACAAACUAGAUGAGUGAAAGGGAGCCAGAAGCAGAAACGGGACAAGGAAAUAGACUAUUAGUGUGACAAGCGCUCCGAUAUGGACUGCCACAAGGAUAUAGGUGAGAGAUAUCAAAUCCAGUUGAAAGGAGCUGGGGAGUUUUCAGGGAAAAAUAAGAAGUUAGCUAGGUAAGGAAGGGAAGAAGGGCAUUCCCAGCAAAGGGAGUAACACAUGCAAAGUUGCAAAGGGGUGGAGGAACAUGGUAUUUUCGAGGUGGCUGGGCAAGAGAAGAAGACAGGGUGGUGAUGGAAGUGAUAGCCAGAGUCCCUGUAGGCCUUGCUAAAGAAUCUGGACUUUAUCCUGAAGGCAAUGGGGAACCACUGCUAAAGAAGGAUAAUGACAUCAGAUUUGCAUUUUAGAAACAUCAGUUUGUCCACAGGAUGGGAGAUAGAUAAAGGCGUUGAUGUGCAGUACCUUUGUGGAACAGGGAGAGAGAGAGUCAGGGGCUAUUUUCAGUAACCUAGAUGAGAACUUACAUAAAGAGAAGGAAGAUAGAUUCUAGAGUUCUCAUUGUGUGUCUUAGCGUAACAACAGUAAUUUACUCCUUCUGACGACACUACACAUUUGUGAUUGACAUCAUUAUGGCUGCUUUUGUUAGAUUCCAUCUGUGUGUGUGUGUGUGUGUGUGUGUGUAUGGAUCAUGUCUCCUCAAAUUAACUACAGGCUUGUUGAAGACUAUAUCCUUAAAUUCUUUGUAGUUUUUACAAUGCCUUAUUCAGCAUCUUGAAUACAGUGAAUGUUCAGAAUAUGCUUUUUGAGUGACUGUUAUUAAUUUUUGACAUAAUCCUUGAACAUUCAAGAAUGCUAGAAAGCCAGACCCAGUGAGCUGAUUUACCUCAGGACUCAGAAGUGCAUGUUCCCUCAUUCUAGCCAUUAAAUUAGCCCCAUACCAGCAAUGCCAGCUUUGAACAUUAGCUAUUUCCAUCCAUGCUUUAUCAGCCAACGGAUAUACACCACAGAGACUUUUCCAGGUCCAAGGUUCCUGGGUAAUGACAAAUGCCACAAAUAAUACCACCCAAUAUGAGUUUAGUACUUUAUCAUUUUUAAGGUAUUUUGUGAUCCAUUAUCUCAUUUAUUUAUUUUUCAUUUGUUUUAUUCAUUCGUCAAGUCCCAGCCAGAGGCAGGAAUUAUUAUAGAGGAAAGAAUCGAACAGCCAGAUAAAGUGUCUGACCAAGGUCCCCACUUAGAGAAAAUAGAGACUGAGCCCAGGUCUGUGUGUGCUCAGGAAGUCAGUGUGGUACAGGGAGAAGAGUCUGGGAUGAGAGUUACAGGGAACUGUGCUAGAAAUCACGUCCUUUCACAAAAUGAACCUGUGAGGCAAGCCAUUUCUCCUUUCUGUGUUUCAGCUUCUCCGUGAGUAAAAUGGAAGUGAUACCACCUAUCUCACAGAGCAGCUCUGAAGGCCAAAAAGAUGACACAUACAAAGCACUUAGCACCAUGCCUAGAAUAAUUAAUACUUCUCAGAUCCUCUUUAUCUCAGCUCAACACACUCCCAACUGGUCCAACAAGUUCCCAAAAGUGUCUGAGAGAGCUGUAAAAUACAGAUUCCUAGGCUCCACUCCAGAUCUACAAAAUUAGUAUGUCUGGGGAGAAGGCCCAGAUGAUUCUGAUACACAUUUCCAUGGGGAACCACUGGAUAGGACCAUAUCAUUAGCCCACAUCAGUCUAACUUUCAGAGGAAAAGCAAGAGGAAUCCACAUUUUUUGGAAACCUACACUGUGCUUGAUGCAGUGCUAGCAGCUUUCACUUGAAAGAUACAUUUGUCUCUUUCUCAUAAUUUCUCACAGUUCACCAGGGUGAGGCUAGGUGACAAUGAUUUGAAAAAGUUAUAUGACACAGAACACAGAUAUAACAUAUAUUUUCAUCCCUGUAACUCUAGCCUCGCCAGGGAAUUGCUCCUGGGAUUACAGUUGACCCUAGUUUUCCUCCUGGUUCCUGCGUUUGAAACCCAUUUCACUUUAUUAAAAAACCUUCUAUAUUGUCCAACCUAUACUAAUAACAAUAGUAAUACUAUCAGUUAAUGUCAGGCCAAGCAGCUCAUGCCUGUAAUCCCAGCACUUUAAGAGGCCGAGCUGGGCAGCUUAGAUGAGUCCAGCAAUUUGAGACCAGCCUGGGCAACAUGGUGAAGCCCCG
rnacentral:lncRNA from 1 species